rnacentral:tRNA from 1 species
GGCGAUAUGGUGCAAGGGUUAGCACGCGGCCCUCUCAAGGCCGAAAUCCGGGUUCGAAUCCCGGUAUCGCUGCCA